rnacentral:lncRNA from 1 species
UUUUAGGCAACAAUGAGAAGUUUGAAAGUUUUCAAGUUAGUAUUGUUCGAAACAAUACUAAUCAUUAUUUAAAUGGUAAACUGAUUCCUGGUCAAACAUAUACAAUGUUUCAAAGAAAUAUUUUAGAUGAUGGUAGCAUAUACACAAGUCCAUGGCUACAUGAGUUUAUGGCUUCAUCCAAGUUGACUUCUUCAAUUGAAAAAUCAUCAACACACUCAUAUCUUUUUGGAUUAAUUGUGAUGCCUGUUUUAUUUUGUGGUUUGAUUGCAUUUUUAAA